GGAGCCCCCGGCGCGCUCGGGCCCGGCGGGCAGAGCUCCGCACCCGCGGAGCCCCGGCGGGGCGGGCAGAGGCGCAGCCCCGGGACCCCCGACCCGCUCCCGAGUUCCAAAAUGACCUUUCCCUGCAUCGUUUUGGAGCAGAAAUAAAAGAAGGCUUGCAGCUACCAGAAAGUCAUUAAGGCAUUAGUUUCUCUGAGAAGACAGAUCUGAAGAAAAUUCAAGAAAAUGAGAAAAUAGAUCUAAAUAAGGUGGAGUUGAAUACAGUGGUUAACUACAAGCAAUAUGUUCUGAAGAUGGUGGUGUUCAGACAAAUACCCAAUUUGAUUCUGAUAAAUUGGAUGCAAGACUUUGACCAGCAUGAGAAGAACAGGCAUUGUGGAAGCAGGCAGCAUCCCACACCUGUGGAGGAGCUCAGCAGGAGAACAAAUGGGGGAAAAUAUUCCCAAUGUCUGUUGCUGCUGGUGGCUCAGGGAGUUUGAGCAGAGGUCUGUGGUGGUCCAGCUCGUUGGAAACUUUUGUGCUCAAACCAGGAGGAUGCUCCAGCUGGAGCUAAUUCCUGAUUCAGGAAAGUCACUCAUCAUGCCAGUGUGCAAAUUCCCAGGGUUUCCCUCCAACAUCUCCUUCAUCUCAAUUCAAGGUUUUCUGGGCGCUGAACACUUUGAUUUCAGGUAAAAACCUCAGUUCCAGGGGCAGUGCCAGGAUUUGUCAGACCCUACAGGUUUCCAGUUCGGGUUGUUAACACCAACAAUUCCCAACCCUAUUCCCUUGACUCCAAACUGUAUUCGGGAGGCGUUUGGUGCUCCUGCAUUCAAACAGUUAAUUUUCACUAUGUUCUGUUAAAGAAAAGGAAAACUGUCACCCUGUCAUUUUAGAGUCUGACACUAAGCUUGUCAAAAGAGACAGCUGUUAAACUGAAUUACUGUUGACACGCAGAGAAACGGCCCUUGCCAGAUGUAAAGGACAUCUGCGGCAAUGAAGUGGUACAGGGUGGCUUUUAAAAUGUGGUCAUACUGGUAUUUGAAUAGAGCUCUAUGGCAUUAAAACGUGGCCUUGACUCAGACAGUUUAAGGCAACGAAGCAGAGCCAAUGCCAAGCACAAAGAAGUGCUGAUCUGUUGCUGUAUCCAUAACUUAGGCAUGAAUAUGAAAACAGUGCAGUGUCAAAGCUAUUAAGCUCUUAUCAUGUAUCCAGGAGGAUGUGGGUUUAAAACACAGUAGGAAAUAUUUUGUAUUUCUGGCUCCUUGGCUGUGCGGGUAGGUGAAGUGGAAAUUCAUAAGGUGGAUUAUGCAGGGAGUGAAUGGAAAUAAGUCGUCUUGUCUUCAGCUAACAACUGCUCAGACAAGAAUUGCAAAGGGCAUUAGGCUUAGGAAGUGGGGCUGGAUGUGCCUUGCCGGAGUUCCUGAUAACGCUCUCGGGAUGUGGAGCACGUGGUGGGUGCUGGGGAGGUUCCCCUCUGCAGAGGGGAACAAAUAAAAGCAAAAAUCACUGAACA
rnacentral:lncRNA from 1 species